GUACAACAAGAACUUCAAGACUCUGAAGGAAGAAAUUGAAGAAGACCUCAGAAGAUGGAAAGAUCUCCCAUGCUCAUGGAUUGGCAGGAUUAAUAUAGUAAAAAUGGCCAUUUUACCAAAAGCGAUCUACAGAUUCAAUGCAAUCCCCAUCAAAAUACCAAUCCAAUUCUUCAAAGAGUUAGACAGAACAAUUUGCAAAUUCAUCUGGAAUAACAAAAAACCCAGGAUAGCUAAAACUAUCCUCAACAAUAAAAGGACUUCAGGGGGAAUCACUAUCCC
rnacentral:lncRNA from 1 species